rnacentral:rRNA from 1 species
UCGCAGAAGAAAGCMCCGGCUAACUCCGUGCCAGCAGCCCGCGGUAAUACGGAGGGKGCAAGCGUWAAUCGGAAUUACUGGGCGUAAAGCGCACGCAGGCGGUCUGUUAAGUCAGAUGYRAAAUCCCCGGGCUCWACCUGGGAACUGCAUUUGAAACUGGCAGGCUUGAGUCUUGUAGAGGGGGGUAGAMKMUCCAGGUGUAGCGGUGAAAUGCGUAGAGAUCUGGAGGAAUACCGGUGGCGAAGGCGGCCCCCUGGACAAAGACUGACGCUCAGGUGCGAAAGCGUGGGGAGCAAAKCAGGAUUAGAUACCCUGGUAGUCCACGCUGUAAACGAUGUCGACUUGGAGGUUGUUCCCUUGAGGAGUGGCUUCCGGAGCUAACGCGUUAAGUCGACCGCCUGGGGAGUACGGCCGCAAGGUUAAAACUCAAAUGAAUUGACGGGGGCCCGCACAAGCGGUGGAGCAUGUGGUUUAAUUCGAUGCAACGCGAAGAACCUUACCUACUCUUGACAUCCAGAGAACUUAGCAGAGAUGCUUUGGUGCCUUCGGGAACUYUGAGACAGGUGCUGCAUGGCUGUCGUCAGCUCGUGUUGUGAAAUGUUGGGUUAAGUCCCGCAACGAGCGCAACCCUUAUCCUUUGUUGCCAGCGRUUCGGUCGGGAACUCAAAGGAGACCUMCAGUGAUAAACUGGAGGAAGGUGGGGAUGACGUCAAGUCAUCAUGGCCCYUACGAGUAGGGCUACACACGUGCUACAAUGGCAUAURCAAAGAGAAGCGACCUCGCGAGAGCAAGCGGACCUCAUAAAGUAUGUCGUAGUCCGGAUUGGAGUCUGCAACSYGACUCCAUGAAGUCGGAAUCGCUAGUAAUCGUAGAUCMGAAWRMUACGGUGAAUACGUUCCCGGGCCUUGUWCACACCGCCCGUCCCCCCCURGGAGUGGGUUGCAAAAGAWGUAGGUAGCUUAACCUU